AGUGAACGCUGGCAGUAGGCCUAACACAUGCAAGUCGAACGGCAGCACAGGAGAGCUUGCUCUCUGGGUGGCGAGUGGCGGACGGGUGAGGAAUACAUCGGAAUCUACUUUUUCGUGGGGGAUAACGUAGGGAAACUUACGCUAAUACCGCAUACGACCUACGGGUGAAAGCAGGGGAUCUUCGGACCUUGCGCGAUUGAAUGAGCCGAUGUCGGAUUAGCUAGUUGGCGGGGUAAAGGCCCACCAAGGCGACGAUCCGUAGCUGGUCUGAGAGGAUGAUCAGCCAGACUGGAACUGAGACACGGUCCAGACUCCUACGGGAGGAAGCAGUGGGGAAUAUUGGACAAUGGGCGCAAGCCUGAUCCAGCCAUACCGCGUGGGUGAAGAAGGCCUUCGGGUUGUAAAGCCCUUUUGUUGGGAAAGAAAUCCAGCUGGUUAAUACCCGGUUGGGAUGACGGUACCCAAAGAAUAAGCACCGGCUAACUUCGUGCCAGCAGCCGCCGUAA
rnacentral:rRNA from 1 species